rnacentral:rRNA from 2 species
AUGACCUCGGAUCAGGUAGGGAUACCCGCUGAACUUAAGCAUAUCAAUAAGCGGAGGAAAAGAAACCAACAGGGAUUACC